CAUGCAAGUCGAACGAUGAAGCCCUUCGGGGUGGAUUAGUGGCGAACGGGUGAGUAACACGUGGGCAAUCUGCCCUUCACUCUGGGACAAGCCCUGGAAACGGGGUCUAAUACCGGAUAACACCUGCCCGGGCAUCCGGGUGGGUUAAAAGCUCCGGCGGUGAAGGAUGAGCCCGCGGCCUAUCAGCUUGUUGGUGAGGUAGUGGCUCACCAAGGCGACGACGGGUAGCCGGCCUGAGAGGGCGACCGGCCACACUGGGACUGAGACACGGCCCAGACUCCUACGGGAGGCAGCAGUGGGGAAUAUUGCACAAUGGGCGAAAGCCUGAUGCAGCGACGCCGCGUGAGGGAUGACGGCCUUCGGGUUGUAAACCUCUUUCAGCAGGGAAGAAGCGAAAGUGACGGUACCUGCAGAAGAAGCGCCGGCUAACUACGUGCCAGCAGCCGCGGUAAUACGUAGGGCGCAAGCGUUGUCCGGAAUUAUUGGGCGUAAAGAGCUCGUAGGCGGCUUGUCACGUCGGGUGUGAAAGCCCGGGGCUUAACCCCGGGUCUGCAUUCGAUACGGGCUAGCUAGAGUGUGGUAGGGGAGAUCGGAAUUCCUGGUGUAGCGGUGAAAUGCGCAGAUAUCAGGAGGAACACCGGUGGCGAAGGCGGAUCUCUGGGCCAUUACUGACGCUGAGGAGCGAAAGCGUGGGGAGCGAACAGGAUUA
rnacentral:rRNA from 1 species